AGAACUGGACACCUCGGGGGUUUCCUGCUUUAUGGCGAAGGGCCAGGGCCCCACACACAUUCUGCCUGACAGCCAGCCAAGCUCUUCAGUCCCCCGCCCUCCACCUGCCAGGGAGGCUUGGGGCGUUAUACCUGCCACCACGGGGUAGGUCUGACACAUAUACUCAUAGAAAUGAGUUAUUUAAAGAAGACGGUCCAGAUUCCACAGUCCAAAAAAAAAAAAAAAAAGAGGUUUGCCCUGCUUCUGAAGGAGUCAGGAUACGAAUGCAGAGGUCUUCCUGUUGGCUCACGUAUCAGACCUUCAACGUCAACAUUAAAUGUGAGUGAUGCUCUCCACUCUGUGAAUGUGGCUUUGGGUAUGGCUAAUCCACACCCUGCACUCUGGCCUUCAGAAGCCCAGGGAGAGAAGCCUCCCAGAAGCAACCUUCCAGAACCUUCUCCAUACUCCCACCGACCUCCCCAGCCCCUGUCUUCUCUUUGAAUCUCGUUGUCAAGUUCUUUCCUGGCUCCUUGAGGGGAGGUGCAGCUUUCAUCUGACCAUGCAGGCGUGCUUUGCAGUGGGUAGAGCAGUGCUUUCCUCCUCCCAGCUGCACACUGGAAUCACCUGGAGAGUCCAGAAACUUCCCGC
rnacentral:antisense_RNA from 1 species